GUGCUGGUGGCGGAGGUGGAGGAGCGACAGCGUGUUUUGUUUGGCAGCCUGUCCAGUGGCGUCAGUGCAAAACAAAAACGCUUGGAGUGGGAGAAAGUUUGCGAGAGGGUGAAUGCGGUGGGUUCCGAGACACGCACCCCCGCGGAGAUUAAAAAAAGUGGUCGGACCUCAAGGUGGAGGUCAAGCGGCGUACAGCUGCCCUCCGGAGGAGUACCGGCCAGACAGGUGGGGGUCCGGGGGAGGACACCCUCACGCCGUUUGAGCAGCGGGUGGUGGCGAUUAUUAUUAUUGGGUAAGUGGCGUGUCACACAAAUGUCCACAUGCUUUGUCAUCCCACUGAGCAAAAGACGUAUAUUAGACGUCUAGUCUAAGUUUAUACUUCAUUUCAACGUCGGGAUUCUGUCUAUUUUUAGACGUGAUUUAUACUUCGCCCUUAACUUCAUUUUUCGAUAACUUUUUAUGCAAUAAACAACUGUAAUGUGCAUAACUGACCUCGAAAUACUGGAUUACAUUACCUAUGCUACCGUGGAGAGAGAUGUAAACGCAACAGAUACACAGAAGCAGGAAUUGAAAUGAACUAAUAUUUUUAUUGUGUCACAGAAAUUAAUGUGUCGGCCGUGUCGCCGGCUUGCGGAACCCCGGCCCGCGGCAGCCCGUCCGCCGGCUCGGAGUCGUCGGCCAGGACCAGCGGCAUUCGGGCCACCCCGGCCCCAGCACCAGCAUCAGCACCAGUGCGCCGACAAGCGGUGGAGCGUCCACCAGCCGUGGCGCUUCCGCUGGACCACCCGGACGCAGUGGAAGGGUCCUCGCGGAGGGGGUCCUGCAAUCGCAGGAAGAAAUCAUCAGGGGGAUCGCGGGGAUCAACGAGCGGCUGGACCGGCUCGUAAAUUUCCUCGAGCGUCUGGUGGAGAAAAUAAAUUAAUUUGGCUCAUUGAACUGUGUAUUCACUUCUUACCCAUUCACACUGUGGCGAUGAGAUUCUCCCGCGCGAGGACGGCGGCCCGGCAGGGAUCAGCUCGCAUCCCUCCGUCUGCUGCUGGUUCGUCAUGUGGGGCGACGUGCUGCCCGGCCACGGGGAUGUGGUGCACGCUUGUCACAUAGUGAGUCACCAAACACCGCCACACAGCGUCGCCAAAGUGCGAAUCACAGUCAACGCAAAUAUCCAGCUCAACGCCAAUUUCUACACCACCUCCUGACUUUGCGUUGAUUAGCGCUGGAACCGACGCUCGUUUCGCGAUGAUAAAUCUGGACGUGUGCGCCGAUUUUGGCGUACGCAAGGUUUUCUUGCGCCGCAAGCGUUGAUACAUGAGGCCCCUGAUCUCAGAACAGCAAGCCAUUAGAAUACCAACAAAAAGGAAACAUAAGUGUAUUUAAUUGCAGUAAAAAUGUACUGAAGAUUCGUGAAGCAUACUUUUGAAAGUUAAUAAAUCCGAAAAGACAUAAGUCAAUCCCAUCAUGUCAACAGUCUUUCUCAAAUCCUGCUAUCAAAUAUGUCCAGAUGUCCCCCACACCUUGCAAAUAAAAUUAGUUUAGAUGACUGCAGCAUCACAGCAAGACAAACACACCCACACCUAUCAACCUGAUGUGUUCACAUAAGCCCAACCCAAAUGCAUUAGAGUUUGCAUUAACAGUUGUGUAUGGGCCAGACAUUUAAUGAUUCCUGCUGCUUCAUAGAGAGACGGAGCUAUGAUUGGGUGAAAACAGACUUCUCAGUGUAAUUUCAGCGAAGAGGAGUUAAAAUCCAGUCAAGGUUCUCACCAGUGUUGCCAGUUUGGGCGGUUUCCUGUCCAUCUUGGCAGUUUGAGGUUGGCAGCAGAGUCCAGUAUCUUAAGCAUUUAGCAGGAGAAAGCAUUUCCUGCCUGUUGGGAGGACAAUGCCAAAAGUGCAUGAGGGCAUGUGAAUUUUUUUUUUCUAAGUGAUGCAAAUGUACGUGAUAGCUUAGUUAUAGCAGAUCUUUAAUAAUAUUAAGCAUUGUGAUGCUAUUGGAGUCCUUUUCAGACCUUAGUUGGCAUUGUCUAAUGUUUCUUCUUUUUAACAUACUUAUGCACAACCACACAAUAAAUGCAGUGGCUUUAACAGCUUAAUACCUAUUAAGGUACACCAACCUAUCUUCUCCCCUGUGCCUAUUGAAAAGGUUUUUAAAUGACUGUUUCAUUAACAGAAUAAAGUUUAUCCUUUAGAGUGGAUUUAUGGAUCAGUUUGGACCUAGAAACAAACAAAGAUUGUUUUUUUGUGCAUAUACAUUGAGUAUGCAUGUAUGCUUUUACUGAUUUACGCUAUUUUGACACUUAAAUAUUCAGUGUACUACUACCAGAAACUUAAGUUAAACCUACUAGUAAUGAAAUGUCAAUUUUAUCAGUCACUGCUUGGUUACUGUGGCAACAAAAAGCCAACUUCUGGGUAGAUUUCUUAUUUUAAAUUUACAAUUAGCAGGCACUGCUGGAAAAGGCAAAUAUCACAGACUGUAUAUAUUCUAUGGACAACUUGGCUCCGCCUUCCGUCAUUGUACAAAUUUGAAGCCGAGUUGCUCUCGGUAUUUCCGGGAUUUUUGCCACCUACUGGAACCACCACUUGCACAGUAGCAUUGCACUUAUUCGGUGGGGGAGUUGCUGAGAGUCGCUGUGAUGACGCUCAGCUGAAAAAGUGUGACCCUGCAUGAAUUACACAAUCUUCGUAAGCCCAUAGACUGUAUCAAGUGUCAAUCAUAGAAAACAUCAACCCCCUAAUAACUUUUAAAAAAUUGAGCUGUACAGAAAAAAGAGGACUUGAGCACAAACCAGUCUUACAGUAACUACAUGUCAACAUCGCAACCAGGGGGGAGAAAAUUUUGUAUUCUGUGUAAUUAGAUUCUAAAGUUUGUCCACAGCUCCAUAGGGAUUGCUGGAGGAGGUGGGAUAUAGGACCUAUACUGAAGCCCAUGAGGAGGCAGACAGCGUCCACUCUAUAAACAGUCUAUGGCAAACACCAACAUUUACUAAUUGUAGUAACAUUGUGAUAAUGUAUGUAAGGACAGUCAUGAUGGAAAAUGGAUUGUCCUAAAAUAGUAUUUGAACCUGAAACAGAAUAUUAAUGUUGAAUUACCAUGAAUAAUCAUAAAUGUAUGAUUAUGUCUGAAUAUUGUCUUUUUUAAUGGUUUCAUCAUUAGUCAUUUUGAGAGUGCAGGUGAGUCUGGUUAACUGUGGAGCUCACAGUCCACAAGAUUGGACUAAUAGACUAAAGACAAAAUAGAGACACAGCCACCUGAUUUCUAUACAUUUUAUGUCAGUAACAGACACACAUUUACCUUUUGUAUCUAUAUGACAUUCUAAAAGGACUUCUCAGCUCUCUGCAGUAUGAAUAAGAACAGUUAAAGGUAUAAGUGGCUGUGUCAGAGUGCAUCUUUCCUGCAUGUUUGUGUGGAGAUGAAGAAGCACAUCACAGCCGUGCACUGGCAUCAAUGUGUGUAGCUGACAGACAGAAAAUAAGGUCCUGGUUUUCUGUCCCAUCGCUUGUUGUCAUCCUUGGCUCUUGUUCUCUUUAUUUCCUCUCUCCCGUUGAUUGCCCACUAUCGCUCCCACUCUAUCAUUCAUGACACUUUGCAACUCCACAUGUCAUAAAAUGAUAAAACAUAUCAAAACUUUUGACAACCUUUCUCCCCAGAAGACAACAUCAUCCCCUUAAGUAUAGCCCUGCCUGUAAAUCAAAAGAUGUAAUAACAUCCUGACAAUCUUCACAGUACUGUUUAACCAAACAGAGAAGGAUAAAACACACAAUGUGUUACUCUUUUCAAACCCAAUUUAUUACCACAGAUUUAAAUCUGUGUUCAUGUCUCUACUUAAGUGUGUGAGCUUCAAUGACUUGUUAUGGAUGUGGUGCCCACGUGUUAGUUUGGCAUGCGAUCUAUGCAGAGUAUGAGUAAACAAAAGAGGGCUUUUAUUUUUGAGCGAUAGUGUAUGUGACAGCCUCAGAAACAGUCUCAUUCCCUCUCAUGUGGAGCCAACACUGUGUGCUUCCAAAGGUACACACAUUAGCAUAACUGGGUAAUUUACACCACCAAAAGGGAAAAAAUAAAUAAAAGGGCAAAAACCUAUCAGCCAAGAGAAUAAUGCUUCAGCUCCAGCAAUAAAUUUGCAAGCCGGUGGGAGGCUGUGCCAAAAGUACUCUUUGGAUAAACAACAUGGAUUAUUGGGCAUCUCAGGGUGAUGAGUUGCUGAAAGCACCACAAAUUCCCCCCCUUUAAAACACUGCCCAAGUUUCCCGUCCCUAAUAGAAAUAAGAUGUAUAUUAGCUGAGCCUGCCCAGGGCAAGGUUAGCUCUCAGAGAGGCCUCGUAAUUGCUGACUGGGAAUUUAAUGUAUUUUAAGUUAAGUAACAAGGAAUAAAAAUACUUGCUUUUGUGGUGAGCUAAAAUGGGUUCGCGGCAAUCUGUUGGAAAAGCAGUUAGUGUUCACUUUGCAACUGAGGAAAAGCUGUUGGGGUCUGUUGAUGCAGAUCUUACAUUACAUAACAUGACAGCAUGUUGUUUAAUUAGUGCAUCUUAUGAUUUUGUAAUGUGGUAUAACGCUGCGUUGUCUUUUUGUACAAAUAUUAAUAUUAGCUGGAGGGAUUCAGCCAAAAAGUGCAGAAAAAUACGUCAAAGCUAACCAAGACACCUAGGAAUAGGAGACGUAUUAAUGAAACAGUGAAAUGUAGAUACUCCAUACAUCCAUUAGCUUCAUAUUUGGAUGACAAUAGAAGCUUUACUUCAGCGUUAAUGUUCAUACAAAUAUGUCUCACACCAUUAUUCAGAAAUGUGGGAAACAUCUGCUGUCCUGCAGAAAACAGUGAAUUCUUACAUGCAGCCAAGUCUCAGAAGUAAAAGUUAACCAAAUGAUGUGUGGACCUGUGUGAUGAUUAAAAUUUAGCUGACUCAGAGGAAGUGCAGUAGAAAAGAAAAGAACUCUGAAUAUGACAACCCUGUGGCUAAAGACUUGUCUGUGAAUGGUGGAUGGUAGACUUGAAGGAGAUUUGCAGGAAGAAUUGAAUUUACGGGACGCAUCAUCAGUAGUGCUCCCCUGGCUCAUGGGGUGUUUCGGCUUUGACACUAUACACCCUCACCAGAGGCGGCCAGCUGUAGGGUGAUCAGACCUCAGCUUGCGUCCCGAGUCCAAUUAGCCGUGAGAGUUGCCUUGUUGACAAGUGGCGGACAUCUCAGGGGACUAUGCAUGGCAGGGACAUCCGGUUCCCUGAGUCAAGCCUAAGCCGAUGCAUACCUCCUGGCUCACUACUUGGGGGCCCAACUGGUGUCCUUCCUCUUCAGUCAUAGCCACUGGCUGCUUCUUUCUGCUGUCUCUGAUGCAGCUUUGAUGACUGUGCACAGUUUCUAGCCCUUAACCCCCAAGUCCCUCAACAGUUUUGUGGUGGAUGUUCCCACAAACCCUCUGCACCCAAACUCCACUGGGCGGACUUCCGCGUUCCAGCCAUGAUGUUUUGCUUCUGCGGCUAACUCGGCAUACCGUAGAUGUUUCCGCUCAUACGCCUCCUCCAUGGAAUCCUCCCAGGGUACAGCAAGUUCGAUUAUGUAGACCUUCUUCAUGGAGGGAGACCAGAGCACCACAUCAGGCCUCAAGGUGGUGGUGGCAAUCUCUGGGGGGAACACCAGCUGCUUUCCAAUGUCUGCCAGCAUCUUCCAGUCACAUGCUAGGCACAGCUGGCUUCUCUCUAAAGGUGUAGAACUGCUCCUGGUAGCUGCAGCCCCUUCAUGGACAAAGGCAGUUGCCCAUGAUGUUGUUGAGGCGUUAGAUGUUGGCAGUGGUAGGGCAUUGAUGCUUGUACGUUUCUCCUCCAAUGUGGCAGCAGGGCUCUUCAAGACCUGGUUGUGGCGCCAAUUGUAUCAUCCUUGCGCAAGGCUGGUUUUACACCCGGUGAGUAUGUGCUGGAGAGUGGCUGGCUUGGAGCACAGGACACACCAAGGAUCUUCGCCAAACCACUGGUGGAGAUUAGUUGGUGUUGGAAGGACGCCGUAGGUGGCUCUGAUAGCAAAGCUAAUUUUGUCUGGCACAAGCUACUCUGAUGUAUUUUUCCGGGUGAUAUAAAAAUCCUGUUUUAGGCGUCCAUCUUGGUUUUCCGACUUGUUUACUGGAAAGCCGUCAGCUCAGGUGUAACGUCAUUCCCAACUCCGACAUCUGACUUCCGAGGUUACUGGAACGCAGCCACUGUCCAAAUGACACUCUAUCUGAAUGAAUUUAAAAAAAAAAGCACAGUUUUGAUGUCAUAUCCUGCCUCUCAAGACUCAUCCCCUGUCCCUCCCUCCUUAGUCAGUAGGGAAGACUUAACACUGUAAGAGACACAUACGAACAAGGAUUUGUAGAAAUUUAGAGGGAAAAGCUCUUAAAUUUCUGGAGUGCAUAUGUGAAAGAGGCGUCAUGCCUUUGCAGGCUGCAUACAUCACUUCUAGUUUUUAUUCAAGGUCAUCUUUGACAAAUUAAUUGAUGUUGGAUUUGCAUUGGAAAAUCAGAGCAAUAGCCCGAUGCUGAAACUGUGACUGUAAAGGGAGUCACAUCAUCGCAAUGGCCCAGUUGCCAGUAUACAUCGGCACGAUUCAUCCUCAGAGCAACCACCAAAGAAUAAAAUGUACUAGCAUGCCAAGCAUAAAUGAUCCAAAGAGGGCUUUGACCAGUCUGCCUUCGACAGCAGUUGUAUACUUCCCUCAGUACACGACAACACAGUGACAGAUGCUGACAGGAUAGACAAGCUGUUACAACUUUGACAGGCUGCGCUCGACUUGUCGGUUUUCACUCGCAGCUCCUGAAAGCCUGAAUGACUCAGAGUAUCAGCAAGAUAUCCCCUGAUGGCAUUUGACUGUUAUCUUAUUGACUAAAUGUAUAGAAUUUUUAAUCAAUAAAGUUAUAUCACAGAGUUCAGAGAGUUACAGCAACACAGGGCACAUUUAGCAGCUUAGCAUCACAACCUUGAAAUAUUAAGCUGGAAAAUAAAUUCACAAUUUCUUCACAUCCCAUAUGUAAGUGAAUUAAAAGAGCUCCACUCAGCUGUAUACACAUAAAGUCUGCUACUAAUGGGCUUAUCUAAUAAAUUGCUGUUGUAUUCGCAUAUAUUAGGUGCCUGACUUCUAUAUCAAUAUUGUGUGGAGGUGCAUGGGUAAAUCUCAGGGAUUUAUUGGACACAGUAUUUUACUCAGCAUUAUUUGAAUCCUUGUUCUUAACCCUGCAUCACUGGCAUCCCCCAGGACCACUUACACCCAUUAUACCAAAAGCUUGGUUUCAUCAAAUGCAUAAAUCGGGUUCACUUUACUUUGAAAUAAAUACUUCAAGGAUUCUAAGAGUCUAUUAUAUCAAACUGGUAUAAUUAAGAUGAAAACACGCCCUAAUCAGAGCAAAAAAGUGAUCACAUGAAAGGAACUGAGGCCUCAGACAUCCCCACUGUCAUCCACCUGUAUGUGUGUCUAUCACUGCAGCUCCCAGGGCAGCUGCUUACAUGGUGCGUGUUCCAUCUGCCAAUGAACACAUCCAUUUUCCCUGAUAGACAGAUGUGCAGCGCAAAGCCUCAGCACCUCUGGGUACCUUUGGGAGGGCAGCACGGUAAAAGGUGCCAGGGAGCAGACAGCUGUCAGACUCCAGCAAUGCAUCCAAAGUAACCUCCCUGUCAAUGGGAAGGACGAUUCAGCAAGCAAGUGCAGUUGUCAGAUGCAACAGAAAUAUGACCAGCCUUACCUUGUGUGUUUAUGUGCUAUGUACACAAACUGCACAAAUAAUGGACUGGCCAACAUGAUAAUUGAGUCUAGACUGCAUGUAUUAAGACCACUCAGCAUUUGGCUAUCACCAUGAUGGUUCCCUGUAGCCAGGAGUUUCCAUCUUUGGAGGAGAGGGUGAAGUAUGAGAGGAACAGCAACAGCCAAGUUUAGAAAGCCUAACAGUCCACACCUGUGGCUAAUUCAUUGGCUGCAUAAUGAGCUAGUUUACCUUAUUAUUUCCCCAAAAUGAGUCUAUAUCUGUGGGGUUGGCUAACGACAGUUUAAUUAUCAGACUUACUGAAUUAAGACAUUAUGAAACACCCCCGGCUUGCUGCUUCACAUAUUACGCCAUUCAGUUGACACUGAUACCAUAAUUAUAUCAACAAUUACCUGUAAUUUGACAUCUGCACCACACACAAUAAUGCAACUUAAAACCUCUUUAAAACAUCAAGACAAUUAAUGGAAAAGAAAUGCUGAUAAUUCUCACUAAAUUAAAUGGCAUUUAACCAUUCACAUUUAGUCACAGGCUGCAGAUCAAACAAUCUUUUCAGGCUUCAUGUCCUAAGAUUGAGGCCGGGGCUUGUAUAAGGCCUCUCUCUCAUCAUGCUAUUUCUGUCCCUUGGCUUUUCACACACACACACACACACACACACACACACACACACACACACACACACACACACACACACACACACACAUACAAACACCCGCCUCCUCCUGCUCCUCUCCCUGCUCUCCUCUCUCCACCUGUAGGCUGCCUGACAGUUUUUACCACUGUUGCACAAUGAAACGAAAGCAACACAACAGGAAGCUAAGUGUCAUUCUUGGGCUGUAAAGUCCUUGUCGACUGGUUGACUUAGCGGUCGAUACAUGCUGAGUCAACCUAAAUUCUGAUUGGUCAACUUGAUUAUUUUUGUCAACUUACAGUAUAUGGUUAAUUUCAUCAGGGGGAACGUACCAAGUGCUAAUGGGGGUGUUUUCAGAGCUGCCCCAUUUCACAGGUAACGGCCUGUCUCAGAACACCCCCCUUGUUUUUACCAUAUUGGAUUCGCCCGGCCCAGUGGAGACCAGCUGGAGACAGGAAGAUUGAAGAGCAUCCACCUUAAUAAACAUCUGGUUGUUUGCAGAAUCUGCCUUCUUGUGCUGAUAGCGGUAUAUUUUCACCCCACCUCACCAUGCUCUGCUGAGCCACGUCUUCCCUCACUGCAGAAGGGUUUGCUAAGAGUCGGAAGCCCCCCCACUGAUUAGUCAAUUAUUGGUCAAGAAUUUCAGGGUUAUAGUUGACUGAGAAUUUCUUUGGUUGAUUACAGCCCUAUAUCAUUCGGUCUGAGUUGUCAUAUUAUGAUUGAGGUGAAUCAAAAUCCUGGACAAAAUAAGAAACCAAUAAAUUUCUGUUCUACCCAAAAGUGAAUAAAAUGUAGUAGUUUGUAGAAAUAACUUAAGCCAAGACUCACUGGAUAGCCAAUGCAACUCACAGACAGCACAAAACUUUACACUCAUCCAAAUUGUGUUUCAAAAAUCCUAAAAUUCCCAAAAUGCACCAAAAAGGAAAGGAAAUCAGCUUAACAGAUAAAAAGACUUGUUGUUACACGAGGCCGUAAACAUGUUUAUUCCUACUUAAGUGUUGCUGUGCAGCAUUCCCAGCUGUUUAUAAGACAGAAACGCUGGAGACUGCUGGGGCAUUCAGACUGUGCAUGUAAACAAUUUGGCAGCAAGGUUUUUGUAGCUAUUUCACAACAUUUCCGCUAUUUACAUAUUUAAAUCAAAGAGAGACAGGUUUUGAUAUUGCAUGCAGUUUUCUUCAAUCUGUCACAAAGUAAUGGCACAUACAUGCAAAUGGGCCCUUAUUUGUAUAUAUAGUUGCAUUUCCAAUCAUUAAAAGUCUAAAGGUUGUGAGGUAAAACAUUAAAAUUAAGAGUCUACAAUUUUGCCAUAAUAAAAAGGAAACAAGAAACAUGUUAGUUUUUUUUUUUCCUUAACAAGCUGUAAGUGAGCAGUGUUAUUAAUAUGUAAAUGCACCCUCAAUUACAGAUAUAAUUACAUACAAAUGUAAGUCUAAGGAGUGUGUAAAGACAAUUGAGUGUUUACAUAGCUCUCCCAUAUGGAGAAUUUGAUUGAAAUACAGUGAGGCUUUAAUAUGACAGAUAUUAACUUAGAUUAUCUCACAAAGUUUUCAUCCCAGAUAAUUGAUUAUGUAUAUGAGAGUCAUGAAGAAAUUGCCAGGUCAUACAAUGCAUAUGUAAUGUAUGGCUGCUCUGCUUCCCCCAGUAAAAGCCAUAUCACCAUGCUGUAAUAUACUAGAAGUCAAUACAAUUCAAUGGUGCAACAUCUUAGGUUGUGAAUAAAUCAGUAGUCAGCAGUCAAGUCCAGCCAAGGAUCGCAGAGGCAGGCUUUAUGGCAGCUGAAAAAGCUGGAGGCAACACUCUGCUGAUGGGAGGAAGAUGAAAAAGAGGCUCCCUCUCAUCAUGCCUUCAUCACCACGGCACCAGAGGAUGCCGAGAGAGGCAGAGAAUUAUGGCAGUGAGAGGGAGAGUAAAUCUUCAAGGCCUGUCCUCGCUCAUGCUCCCAGGCUUGACCAUUAAUUUCUAUCACCCCAGGAGUAUGCGGCUUGUGCACAUCUGUGUGCAUGUCUGUGGGAGCAGAAGCAGUGUGGCGGUGCAGUGUGUUAAAGCUGAGAGAGGCAGCGAAUGAGGGAUGAGAUGCUUUUCCAAGAUGAAAAGGAUAAACACCUUUUUAUCCUGCUGACACAGACAGAAGCCAAAUUUUGCCAUCAGUUGAAGUUUGCUUUUGUGAUUAUUCAUUCGACUGAAAUGUGGCAGGAAGUGUUUCUUCAUUUUUGGGGUCCUGGCCGCCAUGCUUUUACAAACUUUUUCCUUCAUUUAAAUAUGAAAAAUAUGUUUAAGGCUCCAGUGUGACAGGCAUACAUGUUUAUAUCAGUGUUUGUAGCAAUACCAAAAGGUGUUGCACUUUGUGAGGCAGAUAGGAUCCAGCAUUUAAGAGUAGUUUGUCAUAGAAGAGGGUUUGAUUAAUUUCGCCUCAUUUAUGUCAUGUAGGUUUACUUUCCAUGAGUUUCUGCAUGAUGAAAUGAGCUGGGUUUGGUAUAGACUGAAUCAGAGAAAUACUUGCAGCAUACUAUAUAUAUGCUCAUUUGUGUGUCUGUCUGUUAUGGCCAAGAAGAUAGGUAAUAAUAAACAUAAGGGCAAUAUCCUAUUCUAGGUUGAAAAGGCAACUGGACUGGUUUCAGUUCUUGAAGAUUUUUCUCCUCUCUCUCACAAGGUAUCUUCAUUUCUAAAGUGACUGGAGCCAAAGUUGGAAAUUUAUAGCCUCUGUUGGUCCUGUGUUAUGACUGCUGUCAAAAGGAAGCCAAAGCUGAAUUGAAAGUGGGGGAUAAAAAGAAGUUCCUUAGUCCGCCGCCUGUGUUCAAAGAUGGUUUCUCCAGUUUGACAAAGAUGGCCUCCUUGAGACCUCUUUCAAACCAGAGGUCUUCCCUGGCCGGUAUCCUAACACUGCUGUCUUCAAAGGAAUGCCCUGUAGCCUUCAGACCUGAGUAAACAGCUGAGUCCUGGCCCGAAGAUGUGGCUCUCCUGUGCUGGGCCAUGUGUUUGAGCCAUGGCUGUUUAGUUUCCCCGAAGUACAAGCCCUUUGUUGUAGAGUUCUGAUGACACCCAGUUUGUGUUCCAGUGGAUGGUGAGAAUCAAACAGUAGACACUACUCUGUCUGGGUUGGUUUCCUGUAAACUUCUCUGCUGAGGCUUCUGUCCUCCACUUGGCCUGAACAAUCCAGACAGGCCAGACUGUCUUCUUUUACAUCCUCAACAAGGCCUCUUCUUCACUGGAUGUAGUCUUGGCCCAGGUGUCACUCCAGUGAAAGAGGAGAGAGGCUCCCUUACUACAUUUUCCAUGUAGAGAUUAGUCACUAUAGGAGACACUGGUAAGCCAUGUUUUUGCCUGUAGAAGUCCCUGUUGUACUGAAAGUAUGUGGAGUUAAGGCAGAGGUCCAGCAUGGUAAGUGCUUGGUCUAGGGUGAGGGAAGUUCUGCUUCGUAGGCUCUUGUCUACCAGCAGACGAUUCUUUAUUUCUUCCACUGCUUCAGUUGUAGGGAUGCAAGUGAACGAGGAAGUGACAUCAUAGGAAACCAUGGUCUCUUCAGGUUGUAGUCCAAGUCCAUUUAUCCUGUCGGCAAAAUCCCAUGAGUUUCUUAAGUGUUUGGGGGUGUUAGUGACUUUCCAUCCUUGCCACCCAGCUCUCCUCUUAAAUCUUUUUUGGAUCGCAAUAUCUGCUCCAAGGGGAUUUUUGCAAAAAAAAAUAUAUAUAUAUUCUUUACUCAAAGUGAGGUUGGCUAAAUUCAAUCAAAGUAUUGAUCCUAACUGUGAUCAAUGUGGAACAGCACAGGCUUCUUUAUCACAUAUGUUUUGGCUGUGCCCAAACUUGAAAGAUUUUUGGCUGUCUGUAUUCAGAUUUUUCUCUAAUAUAUCAGGAUUAUCAAUAUAACAGCAAUAUUUGGGACAGUACCUCAGGAUCUUAAUCUCAGCUCACACAGUAAAAAACAGGACAACCUUUGCAACACUUCUGGCAGGAGGACUUACAUUACUCAAAAGGAAAGAGAAAUUAUUUCAUACUUUUAGUUCAUGGAUAAGAGACCUCAUACAUCAUCUGAAAAAAGAUUCGGUAUACUACAAGAGUCUGUGCUCACAACUUUUACAGCAUCUGGCAACUAGUCCAGAAAUUUUAAGAGAUAAAUUUUAGACUCCCUUUCAUUUUCUAUAUGUGUACAUGUGGCUAAUUUCAAUGGUUAACUUUACUUUUGUAAGGAGGGGGAGCCCUUCUUCACUCAGUGGCUGUUAUCGCUCAAAAUAUAAUUUUUUUUUACCUUGCAACAUCGGCUUCAUGCACAUUUUUAUCAACUUUUGGCCUAGUUGAUUAUAUCUUACAUUCAUACUUGGUAACGUCUCAUGCCUACAUUCCACCAUCAGUCUACACUGUGAUUUGUUUCCCAUAGGUUUUCAGAAGGCUAUGGCAGCAGCGGGGGAGGGGUGCGUGAUCACAGUGUAUUUAUUUAUUUAUUUUUUCUGUGAUACACAGUGGCAGAAUGACAUGAUUAUUAAGAAACAGUAACUUAGCAUUAGCUUGUCUACGGCUAGCUAAUGAGAAGGGCGAUAAUUCAGAUGAAAGCUACUUGCCCUCCACAGGUGUUGAUUUUAACCUUCUAGCUCCAUUUGUUUGAAAUUCACCAUUUGUUUUAUAAACUGUAGGUGAAUUAUGUGACCCCAACACACCUUUGGUCCCAAUGCAGAUGAUGAGGGCAGUAGUUAAGGCUCACUGCACCUGUAAGGCAGGUUUAGGAGAGAAGAGAGAUCUCUUAAUAUGUGUGUGUGUGUGUGUGUGUGUGUGUGUGUGUGUGUGUGUGUGUGUGUGUGUGUGUGUGUAUAUAUAUAUAUAUAUAUAUAUAUAUAUAUAUAUAUAUAUAUAUAUAUAUAUAUAUAUAUAUAUAUAUAUAUAUAUAUAUAUAUAUAAGGUCAGUCUGGCUGUUUUUGCUUUGCUAUAGUUACAGCCCACAGCUAUGAUGGAGAAUAAGGCCACACCAAAGACAGAAAAACAGAAGAUAAAGUUGUUAGUAUGCAAAAUAAACACAUUGAUUUAUGACAUUAAACAUGUAGGGUUUCAACAUUAAAAAUGUAAUUUUACAGAAGAGAAGUCACACAUUUACAAGUUUAAAGUUGUAAUUAUAUUAAGAGAGAGAAAUUGUAAAUAUGGGCUCCCUUUAAAGUCUUAUCUUAGAUGUUGGUGGUGGGGGUGUGUGUCUUCCUCAGGGUAUAAUUUCUUCUUUCUGUAGCCAACAAAGCUAUAUUUAUCUUCCUACACUUCAAAUGAAAAACAGCCUUAUGUACACAAACACAACAAUGAAUGAUGGGGACAUAUGCCAGGCUUGACCUUGUUUGCCAGUGCAAGAAUAAGAGGGGCAGGACUGCACUUUUAUGAGUGUCCUUUACUGAGCUCAUGUUGGCAGACAUUCAGGUCAUCGCAUCCUUGGCUGCAUCAUUUUAUUUGAUCAAAACUGAGAAGUGUCUUCAUUAUCUCUCUAUUUCUUGCAGCUCUAAAAACAAUAAUAACCGAAUUCAAAAAUAGAAGCUUUUUUAUUAUUAUUUUAAUACAAACAUAUAACAGGAUUUACAUUGUUUCAGUAAUUCUGUGCUUCUCUUUUCUCAUGUAUGUUACUCUAUUCAACCUUAUAACUGUUGUGAGCACUCUUUUUGGGUUUCUUUUUUUUUUUCCUCCCACUGAGUAUGGGUGAAUCCUGUCUUAACUUUCCACAUUUACAGUGUCAAAUUUAAGCAAGCAAAUAUUUUGAACUGUGUUCAAAUGUAUAUGUAGCACCUAAACUAGAUUUGGUCUGACAGCCUCAGCUGCAUCAUGUAAAAUCCUGUAUAAACAUCCAUGCCACUUAAAUACAUGUUGCAAAUCUGUUUAAAUGAUUGUUUGUUUUUAUUGCUGUUGAACUUGGCCUCCUCUUUCACACUGCCAGCUGUCAAAUGCUGGCAGAGAGAGAUUGAGUGGAUUUUACUAGAUUGUAAAAAAUGAACAGAUAGAGGUUGAUGAGGAGGGAAACAUUGCUCUUUAUGCUCCUUUUGUGUUAGCAUUUUUAUCCACUUCGUCACAUAUGACAAAAAUAUGAAGUACCUCAAUGAUAUGGAGCAUCUUUUUUGACAAAUAGCAUCCUUUACAGAUCAGACUCUCAAAGGGAUGCAGUCUGUCUUUUCCUCUCUAAAAAAAGGAAGAGUCAGCUGUGUUGUCGAACAGCAGGGAGUGUCUGAAGUUCAGGCUGGGAAACUUGUUGAACUGUGGCUUUAGGUUGGCUGAGUAAAUGUGAGCAGUCAGGCCGUGUCUUAGUAAAACCUCCAUCAUUCAGUAAGGCCUCCAGCUGCUGAAGUAUCAACUCAUUCAUGAGAUCUGUAGAAGAUGGGUGGGCUAUUUGGGUGUCAGAAAAAUAAGAUUUUGUGUGACCUCAUGCCAAGAUGAGGUGUAUUCAGGAGGCAAUACAUGGCAUCUAUUGGUUAAGAAACUUCCUGUCAUGUUAAACAUGUGAAAGAGGAAGAUAUUUGAAAUGGCUCAGCUGAUUAUGGACAUGCUCAUUCUUCUUUUCUAAAUCAAUCAAUAAAUUGAAGUUCUCUUCACAAUUUAAAUGCUUGACAACAUUUGGCAACAGAGGCCAAAAAAAAAACCUUAACUUUAACAAGCAGAACGUUAGAGCAGAACUAGCCUCAUGGUAAAGAGCUCCCUGCCACGAGUGAAUGGUCUGAAAAGACAGAGAGGCAGAUAGAAAAAGAGCAAUAAUAACAUCAAUGAUAGAAAACAGACCUGCUAUCGCUUUAACGAUAAUCACAGAAAACAAAAUAUCAUUAUUAGUCUUCUGUCUAAUGUCACUGAUCAUGAAUGGGCACAUCUCAUCAGACAUGGCACACAAAUGUUGUGUUAAGAGCACUCUGUUGUCCCAUCUGGGGAUUGACCUCACAAUCAGAAGUCAUCUCAUGCAUAGUACUGAUGUCCAACAUUUUAAAGGGAUAUUCCAGCAUAACACUGCAGUGGAUCAUUUUCUUGAAGUAAUCAUCAUAAUAAUCAUUUUGCACUGCAGAUGCAGUAGUUCUGCCUUAGCGCUUGGUUGGCGUAUUAACAUCUAUGUUCAAAACAACAAGCCACCCGUUCAUUAAAGUCCGGUUGUAUCGAAGCAGCAAUCUGUGAAAUGAGUCGUAGUUCUACUUCUUUUGCUUCUUUCCGCAACCUGGAAAAUCACAUAAUUGAUCAUUAUGUCCUCCUUUGCCUCAGGUAUUUGGUCAUGACUGAUUUGUCUUCACCUUUAUGCUGUCUUCUAACUCUUCAUGAGAUAAACAAUUGUGUUGACUUCACGUGAAAUCUUGGGUUUGUUUACGUGAGUUUCUCCUGCAAAUACAUAACAUUAAAAAUGCUAAUCUGUGCUCAUUUCCUGGACAGCACUCAAUAAUAACAGUUAAAAACUGAUAUACAAGAUAAACAAGAACUCUGAUUGCAUUUCCAUGAAGUAAUUAUCAUAAAUGUUCUUCCUUGAGCUGUGAAACUCCGCUGCACUUGGUGAUCGACUCGUCAGGGCUCCCCCACAAACAAGCUGCUGCUGGAGGAGAGUGGGUGAGUUGUGUUUAGUCUCUUUGCUAAAGAAACCAGGCAAAACUAAAAAAGAUGUUUGAUGGCUAGUACAUAUAGGCUGGGACCCUAUAUGUGCUGCUGAUGAAGUUAGGUGCUGUUCUGAGCAUUAUUUGUUGCUAUGGAGUGGCUUUUAGGUUAAGGUUUGAGCGUGGAGACGUAGAUCGUUGUGUAUUGCUAUUGUGCAGUCGUUGCUGCAUGAGUUGGUAGAGAAGCAAGUAGUCCGCAACAUUCAUCUCUUGAGGGGAUAUCUAACUUGGUGUUACAGUGUGUUUGACCCUAUGUUCAUUUUAUGCUGGAAUAUCCCUUUACCUGACAGGAAGGCCACAGUUUGGCAGGCUGGGGAACAGUGUUUCUGGGACAUUAAUGAGCAGUACAGGGGCUCCACAAGGGACAGUGCUGGCGCCAUUCCUGUUCACACUGUACACGUCAGACUUCAAAUACAGUACUGAGUCCUGCCACAUCCAGAAAUACUCAGAUGACACCGCUAUUGUGGCACGUAUCAGAAAUGGACAAGAAGCUGAAUACAGAGAUCUGAUAAGAGCCUCUAGUGACUGGAGUCACAAAAACUGCCUCCUCCUCCACACAUCAUAUCAUACCUAGACAUCAUAUAAAUACCUAGGUGUGCAUCUGGAUAAUAAGUUGGAUUGGUCUAAGAAUAUAGACUUAAUCUACAGAAAGGGCCAGCACUGCCUCUUUUGCCUGAGAAGACUCCGGUCAAUAGACAUGGGUAGUAAGAUGCUGCAGAUGUUUUAUCAGUCUGUGGUGGAAAGUGUUCUGUUCUACGCUGCAGUCUGCUGGGGAGGAAGCAUCAAACACAAAGAUGCAAGACGUCUUAACAAACUGGUGAAAAAGGCUGGCUCUGUGGUUGGACUCAAACUGGACUCAGUGGAGGAUGUGGUGGAGAGAUCUACACUGAGGAAGGUGGAGUCUAUUCUACAGAACAUGGAUCACCCACUUCACAACACCUUGAUGGACCAAAGGGCCAAUGGUGGUGGACGGCUCCUCUCUCUUCGCUGCAGGACAGAAAGAUUCAGAAGAUCUUUUGUACCAACAGCCAUCAGACUUCAUAACUCUUGAGUAAAUAGUAGAUAACUUUUAGAGACAUAUUAUGUGAGACAACAGACAAUUGAAUUUCCCUUCGGGGAUCAAUAAAGUUCUUCUUAUUCUUAUGGAAAUUUGCUGAGAUUGUAACAUCACCUGACAGUGAAUUUCCUUAAAAGAGCAAAUUUGACAUUUUAUUAAAAAAAAGAAACUCGACUUUGUCACAUGACAACAGUGAAGGAGGCUCCCAGAAUGCUGGGUUCUGAAAUGCUGAGGGGGGCUUAAAGGGACAGUGAUUAUAAAUCAUGUAAAGCUGCUGAGAAGUUAUCAGAGGGACAAAAUAUAGAGGAAAACAAGCAUCAUACCCCAUCUUUAAUGAGUGCAGAUCAUACAUUGAGAUAUCCAAACUCUACAAACAAUUCCUGUUUCUAGUGUAAAGCCCUGUUCCUAGUGUAAAUCUACCUCUGUUAGUAGUUUGUUCCCAAUGUUCUCAUUCUCUCAAUCACUAUAAAAGUUAGCAUUAAAAACAAUAAUUAUAAUAAGACUGAUAAUAGUUCUCAUAACAGCUUGCAUAGAUGAACAUUUACACUGAAAUUACAUUUAUGGCAUUAAGACAGAUAAUAGUUUAAGCAGCUGGCAUCCACGGCAGCAGGCUAUCUAAUAGUUGUAUCUUAGCCUUUAAUUUUCAUUAGAUUAGAUUUGUAGAUGAAAUGCAAUAACUGGCAUUAUCUACAACAACUGUAUUUUUCAGGCAGCGAGAGUAGAAAUGCGCAUAGAGAAAUGUUUUCUUGUGACCAAAACAGAGUGCCUCCUCUACACCUUUAACAAAGUGUUAUACAUUUUUCACACAACAUACAGCUUAAAAAAGAGGGAAAAAACAAUUUCCUGUAUUUAAAUUCAGUUUGGUUGGUAAGACAAGUGCAAGAAAACAACAGUGUAUGGGUCACCUGCUCUCCUCCACCCUGACACAUCCAUGAAAAGUGGCUCAAAGCCAGACAGCGAUCGUUCUGUGUAGCAUCUGCCACACUGUUAAGGACAGGUUGUUGCAGACUGACACAGAUGGCCUCUUCCAAUCCACCAUCAUUGUGUUUAAAAUUGUAAAUGGCCUGCAGAAGCCAUGAUGUUUGAGACCCUCUGUGGUUAAAUAAACACCACCAACAGCAACAAAAAUGCUUUCUGCACAAGUGGAUAAGUGUGCGUACGAAGGACCCCACAUUCGCCGUUUAUCCAAUUUUCUUGUCAAGCUUUUUUCUCACAGACUGUUUAUACUAUGGGCUCUAUUUUCGUUCGCGCCGGUGAGGCGGCGGAGGGCGGCGAGCCCCGCGCAGUUGUAUUUUCGUCUGGCGGAGCCCGGUGUAAGGCGAGUUUGGUAUUUUCGUGGACUGAGUCGCACGGAGGCGAGCCGAGAUCCGCCAAGCUGGGCGUGGUGGCGUGGCAGGGGGAGGUGUUGACAGAAUCAGCUGGCGCAGUGACAUUUUCGUGCUCGCCACCGGCGUGUAACGUGCGCUGAAAGCUCGCCGAUUCAAACCUGGUCAGCUUUCAGCGCAAGGCGGAACGCAGCUGGUCUAGUAGUAUUUUGGUUGACCGGCGGCGUAUCGACAUACGUCACCGAUGCCUCACCGGCAGGUUUCCACAGUGUCAGGCACAUUUCAGUGCAAUAAAUAAUCAUCAACAACUAAUAAUCUGAGUCAGCACAUACAUUUAGAUCUAUAUCGAUAUAUUCUGAUCUAUAUCUGAUCUGAUGAGCGCGUUUGGCACGCGUUUGGGCACACAACCUGACCGAAUCAAUACAGCUGAAACUGCAUCAAAUUAAAUUAAAUAUCUAGUAAAUAAACACACAUGAUGAAGUUAACAAGAUAUGUAAUUCAUCUCCCUCCUUUUCUUUCUUCCUCUUCCUCUUAUUUCUCGCACAGCUCGACCUGGACACGUCUCUGUGUCCUCUGUCCGUCUUGCUGCAGCUGCUGCGGCUGAACAGAUGAUUUGUUUCAGUGCUCAGAUGCGUGAUCUACUUUAAGCCGACAUACGGAUAUUAUAAUAUUCAGUCUUGUGGGCCAAAUUUAUUUUAUAUGCCAACAUCUAUGAAAGAAAGAGCCAGGCCACGGAGCACGAUGCGUCAUUUACGCACAGAUGGUUCAGAUUUUAAUGCCAUUUUUGGAGUUUAUGUUGUGAUCUGUGCGCUAAACCCACCUUUGUCACGAGAGGUUUGAAUAUAUGCAACUUUAUGUGAGUGUCUUUUUUGUGGAAAAGGGUGUUUGUCUUACCAGUGGGUCCAACAUUACGCACACCAAAUCCGUCUGUGCUCAGAUGAGAGAGUGUGGAGGACACUUGUUGAGCAGCUGCCCUCUGUCGCCAUCGUGUGGCAUUACUGUCUUAAGACAUCUCUUGAUCUCUUUGACGACUUCAUGAAAAUAGUAUUACGCCUCGCCGGUGGCGGAUUUAAAGGCAAGGAGAGGAGCUUAUGUGAUUGGUGAAAACAGGUCUCGGCUGUGUUAAAUCUACUAGACGCCCUCUCUCCUCCCCGUCUAUGACUUAUGCUGCCGGGAGGAGCUGAGUUAGGGAGGGGGGAUACUUACGCCGGGCUGCGCGGCUCACCAAAAUACCAAAAUGUGCUUGGGAACGCCUUGUCAGCGCGGCGGAUCUGAUUGAUGCUGCGCUUGCGGCACGUCUCCGGCGAGGCACCAAAAUAGAGCCCUAUGGACAAUUUGGCUCCGCCUUCUAUCAUUAUACAAUUUGAAGCUGAAUUGCUCUCUGUAUUUCCGGGAUUUUCUCCACUUCCUGGAACCACCGCUUUUGCAGUAGCAUAGUACGCAUUCGGCGAGAGAGUCGUUCUGAUGAAGCCUGGCUCAAACAGCGUAUCCCCGCAUUCUUCGUAUGCCCAUACGCUGUAUCAGGUGUCAAUCAUAGAAAACAUGAACCCACUAAUAACUUUUAAAAAUGGAGCUGCACAGAAAAAAAGAGGACUUGAGCACAAAACAGUCUUACAAUAACUUCAUGUCAACAUUGCAAACAGGGGGGAAGAAAAAUUAUUUUUGUGUAAUAACUUUAAGCCCGUUACCAGAGGGUGCUGUUCUCAGGGAGUCUUCACCCAGCAUGGUGGCAGACAGCGUCUUUUCUAUAUACAGUCUAUGUUUUUUCUCUUUUAACAGUCCGCAUCCCAGUUAAUACUUAGAUGUGUCAGCCCACACAAGUACAGCACAAUAAGCUUUCUUAAUCUUUUGAAAAUACAAACGAACUGUGGCCAUUGUUGUGGGACUAGAACUGUAGACUAAAAGCCAAUUUAUUGACUAGUUGGUGUAAAAAUGUCUCUAUUCAAACCAUCACAGUUUCACUAACUUACCAUGAAAGUCAAAGAGUUUGAACAGCAGCACCGCUCUGUGAACACAGGACAUACUUUAAAGCACAUUUUAUCACAAUUAUAACAUGUCUCGAGUCUAUUUCUGAGAAUUUUACCUCUGCUUAAAACAACCUAUUUAACUGUUUAAACUUCACUUACUUGUACAUAUAUUCAUAUGUCUUAUUUGAAUACAAUCAAAAGUCAGUUGUAGCCUGAACAUAGUGAUAGUCUUCUUUAAUCAUGUUCUUUCUGUGGAGGGAGACUGUCAGUCUAACCCUCUCUGUUUGAACCGCAUGCUUCUUUUCAGUGUAAGGACAGGAGACCAUUCAUCACCAACUCUAAUUAAACAUACCCUCAACACAGGGCAUUGGCAGCUGCAGGGAAAAGAGACAAGAGAAGGAGAUCAAUUGCCAUGAGACAGAUGGAAAAGGACAGAGGUAGAAGAGGAAAGGCGCUGGAGCAAGGCACAGAGAGUGCAGACGCUGUGAUGGAAAACACAGGGAGGACGUGAAAAAGCUGCGGUGGCUAAAAGUCAAGUCUGCUGUCAGAUGGGCCGAGCCCCCCCUCCCACCUGGGUAAUAAGAAGAGUGACUCCUUCCUCAGGACGCCUGUCAGCCCCGACUUAGUCCAUCUCUUUAACAACAUGUGGGCCUUUUUCUAUUCCACUGGAGACUGAUGCAAGUUGUGCAUCACAGCAACUGAAGCUUGGGGGUACUAAGGCUGCACGACGGGCUGGAGAUUGAUUCCAAUAGGGCUUUCUUGAUUUCUGACCCCCUUUUGUUCACUGACAGAUGGGUAAGAUUACCUUGACAUUGCUGGUACUAGAUCUUUCUAAUGGUGUUUAUACCUGUGUCACUUCUAGUAGACAGUCACUAAACACAAGAUGAUUUAUCUGUGCCUCAGGGUAACACGGGAGUCAACUGUUAAAGCAACAUCAUUGAUACAGUACGUGUAUGUAACAGGAUGCCAAGGGAUAGCUUUUCAUACCACACAGAUCUUGGACAGGUACAUUAUUUAGUUAUGGAAGUUAAGAAAGGUUUUUCAAUGGUUUCCAUCUAUCUGUGGCAUCUUGUAAGAAAAAGUUUGAGGGCCUCUGAGGCCUAAACUGACAAACUACUCCCAUUUGACUUAAAAAUAACUAGCAGGAAAUACUGAUAUGAUGCAUAUUCAAAGAGUCAUGCAAAAGUGCAACAUUGAUGCAACAAAAGAAACAUGCUGUCAAUGAAAAAAAAAAAAAAAAAAGCCAUGCAUACCCUUACUAAAAAAAAGUAUACCUCAAGUCCACUUGAAGCAUACUUAAAGUAAACUUCUUGGUAUACUAUUAGAUUACUACACAGCAAAAAUUGGAGUGUUAAAAUUUCAAGGUUGAACAUAUCAGAGUUGAUUUCCACUCUCAAAGUGUUAUUUUAACACAUUCUGAUUCAAAUGGUGUUCAGUGUUUAAGGUAGUUUUACAUCUUUACACAGUUAAGGCCCCUGGGCUUCUGCCCUUGUAAAACCCUGCUACGCAUCUUCCAUGUGCUGCUGGUUUCACAGAUGGAUCAGUGUUGGAGAGCAUUUUACACAGAGGGUAAGUGUAUUAAAUCAAAUUUAUGGGAACAAUAAUAUUAAAUGAAAUGUUGUACAUAAAAGGAAAUAUCUACCGCAAAUAAUGCUACUUUUCCAAGAUUUUUUCUCGCUGGUACACAUGCAGGUACAUUCUGAAAAUGCAAAUGCAUUUCUGUUAAUGUAUCGAUACAAAUUUGCUUCCAUAGUUUCCAUGGAAAUGUCAAUAAAAAGCAUAGUGUGCUGACACUGGCACUGAUUACCUCCCGGUCACAUGCACUCUGCUCACUUGGGCAUCAACCGCGAUUUGGUCGUUGUUAAUGCUUUCAGUUUGAGCUAAUAGUUCCAGGCCUUGUUUACCUUGUACCAUAGCCAAUCAAAAAUGGAUUUGAACAGGCGCGUAUCCUCUGCAGGAUACCGGUUACAAGAGCUAAACAUAAACACCAGGCCAAAAUCCUCCCAGCCAGCACCGGACAUGAGCCACCAAGGCAAAGCUAAAGGGGAGAUGGUGUCCAAUACAGCCGAGAUUGAAGGUAAGACGGACCCUGUGAAACAGCAAUUACUACGGAGAGAACUGGUUCUGAGUGAGUGGCGAGGAGUUCGAAAUGGUAAACAAGAGUUCAGCCUCAAAAAAAGUUUUUGAAUGCACUAAACAAUCUUAGGGUGAAUUACUAUGAUGGUUGGUUUGUUCUUACAGUCUAUAAACUUCCAGUCCCCUUUUUAGUUUAUAAAAGCAUACUCUGAAGGAUACCUUUAUUUUUUUAUUUGUUUUGGGGGGUGCCUUCAAUGGGUAUGACAAAGUGGUGCGGUGGUGACAUGCAGCACAUGGUCAGGGCAGGAAUCGAACCCAUAACCAAAGCACCAAAGCAGGGACCACAGUCCCCAACAUGGGACACACCUUAACCCACUCGGCUAUCUGCACACUGACUCUGACACAUAAUUAAAAUUACUUUUUGGUAUGAUAUUAUUUCAGUAGUUGUACAUAUUUGUAUACUUGGCUUUUAUUGCUUAUCUUUUUAAGAGUUUACUCUUAUGGGGUAUAUUUCCAUAUAUCUUUUAUAAGAGUGUACUCUAUAAGAGUAUACUCUUAUAAAGUACACUCUUAAAAAUAUAUAUGGAAGAAUUCCCUAAGAUUGAAAUAUAAGUAGAGGUUAGAUAUAUUUAGACUUUUAGCAUAAUUCUUAGUACAAGCCAAAUAUAGUUAACAUUUCUUUAAGUAUAACUCUAAAGAGUGUACAAAGUAAACUGAAAGCAUACUUAUUAAAAAAAAAAAAUAAAAAAUAAAAAAAGUAUACUUGAAGUACAUUUUAACACACUUCUUUUUGGUAAGGGUAUUAUCAACACAGCAAAUGCAAAAGGGUAAAAAAGUGAAAAUAAUCAAGACUAAAACAGAGAAAACACAGGCCUGUGACUCUCACUGUAACAGGUUUAUCAUGUCUGUGAAGGACAGUGAGGCAGAGACUGUACUCCUUGGUUGUGGUUCAUAUUGACUCCCUCUCUUUUUGUGUCACAUCAUACAGAACCAGGUGGAAGGUAUUGAUAGGAGGACUGAUUAGCAUAAAGGCAACGACUACAAUGGGGAACCAGCUCUCAUCUGGAGCUCAUUCUUGAUUCCCAUCUCUUAUGUCAGGACAUAUUGGACAAAAUCUAGAUUUACUGCCACAAAAUCAACAUUUUGAUUCUGACUUAUCCAACAUUAUGCCUUGAAUUACCAAUAUAGCUACAUUCAGUAUUGCUGUAAUCAUUAUGCUCCUUUCUUUAGUCAGCUAGCUGUGUCUUGACUGGCCAUUGCUGUGGUCCAUACCACAAUCAUCAGAGUGCAUUCUUGGCUGUCCUUGGGAUUACCCUCACACAUCGGGAUAUCUGGUUGUAAAUAUUCAGAUCAGGGGGAGUAAAUCACUCUUCACACUCUUCAAACCACAGGAAAAUCUGGAAAGACACAUAAAAAAUCUGCCCUCAGUUGACUUUUGUCUGAGAGGGUGAUUGGGCCCAAAAACAGACAACUAUCAUGUUCUAUUUAUUUACCCUGUUGUGAUGUGUAUACAGUGGCUAUGUCCCACUGUUUCAUUAGCUGGGGAUAUUAGUUAGCCAUGCAGCUAGUGGUAUUAUGAGAUGACUUUUUAAUUUCUUGGUAUUGUUGGUGUUUACCAGGCCUGUUUGACCUCCGGACUUGAAAAUCAUCUAGAGGAUUAUUUUUGCUCAGCCAAACUUUGAACAGAAACAGUUACAGCCAAUAUUAUUAAAUUAAUGCACAAAUGAUGCACACUGUAAAGGAGACACUGCAUAGCUCUGACACUCUAGUAUUGAACUGUUUAGGGGAUAAACAAGUGAACUUACAGAGCAUAGUGUGCCACACACAUGCAGCUACAGUGACAACAUGUCAGUCUUUCUAAAGAUUCUACUCUAUAGAGCGAUCAAGAAUCUGUGCGAAUGACUUAUUUCUUGAUUGUUUAUUUCUAGUGUUUUACCUCCAUAAACAACAGUUUUCACAAUCAGUUUUCACAGUUGUAAAGUUUUAUCAUCCCUGUUUCAAUGUUCCAAAAUCGAACCUGAUCAGAGUUUACGUGUAAAGGCAGUUUAAUGGGUUACAUAAACCACCAGGUGCAGGUUUAGCAAUGUUUAACGAUAAUAACACAUCAGACAUCUGCAUUAAACCGACUAAAUGCUCUGUGACUCAAUCCUCAUUCUGACUUUGCAGCAUUAAAUGAAGAAAUUUAGUUGGUUUUCUUCUUCUCAUUCUGUAGGAGGUGAAAUAAUUUUCUACUGUGGGUGUGAGGAGGAUGGAGGGCAAGAGACUUUCGGAGUCAAGUUUCAUUUUGGCCUGUACAGGCGGCAUACAAAUAAAACUUAUUAAAGUUAUGGGCACUGCAAACAUCUACCAACUUACAUAGCAGUAAAAAAUCCUUCUCGUAUAAAUGAAUCCUUCAUUUUUUUCUGUGUUGAAGCCACAAGAGGCAAGUGAAAGCUUAUCAUGUGGCAUCAAUUACUGGCUGCCAGCAUGAUUUAUUUAAAGCAAGUCCACUUUGAGUGGUUUUCUUGAUAGGUGAAAGAGGCACUCAUACCUGCUCCUUGAAAAUAACUCUUAAUUGCAUUAAAUUACAUUAUAUUACAUAUAGAAAAUAGCACCUGCAUAAGAGGCACAUCAGAUGUAAAGGUCAGGUGGUUAAGCUCUUUUAGCUCCUCUGCACAUAAACAGUUAUUACACCUGUACAGUAUGUUGAAGUUUUCAGGGUCAGCACAACUAAUUGAGAUCAAUGGCUGACAGAUUUGUGACUUUUUGCGGCACAUAUCUUAAUCUGCUAAAUGAAGAAACCUUUUCAGCCAGCAAUCUUUACAGCACUGCAAAAGUUUGCUUGUACCAUGUAUCUCAUUCAUUUACUGCAGUGUUUUGUUGGGUCAUGCUAAAAUAAUGAGCAGUUGUCAUCAGGCUUGAAACCUAGAAGUGAGCGAUACUAUCUUUUCCCUGUUAAUGCCUGUUUUUUGUCACUGUUGGUUACCCCCAUGCAUUUUUACAAAGAAAUACAUCAUCCUGACCUUUUCCAGAGAUCUGGCAUCAUUUUUCAUUCUGUGGCUUUGCUCAUUUGAAUGUGGUUCAAUUCACUGAUCAUGAUAAGGACUAUUAAAUAUCUCCAUCUGACUCAUUGACCUUUAAGAGGCAACACAAAUAUCAAAACCAUCACUCUUGCCUGCCGUGUUCUACAUGAAAUAGUUGGGCUGGGAACAAACACAGUCAACUCCCACUUUAAUACACUGUCACAUGUUUACACUGAAUUACAGCUGUGCAUCAAAAAGAAAAAAAAAAGAAAAAGCACAAAAAAAGAUGAAAAAUGAAUGUAAGAGAAAAUAGAGUGGUACAAUAAAACUAUAUGUUUUAGGAAUAUCUUGUCCUGCCUUUUUAAAAUUAUUAUACUAUUAUUGCAAGAACGAACAUGAUCUUUUGGAGUCAGAGCAGAGACAAUUAAAAAAUAAAAUAAAAAUUGUUUCUAAAGGAGAGUGAAAGUGUUUUACUAAUUUCCAGUGAGGAGAAACUUUGAGGUAGUUUUGUUCUACCAUGAUGGUCCAGAAUCUUUGUUUGAAUCCAAAGACCCUGUGCAGCUUUGUUAACCCCUCAAAAGGUUCAUAGGGAACAUGUCUGGUCCAUGAACUCACACAGCCUAUGAUAUUAAUUAGUUCAAUCUUUUCGGUCACUACCUCUGGAUUACCCGUUAUACUGCUGUCAUUUUCACUGGUCAUUAAAGCUGAACGGCUGUCAUCCCCUACUGCAGUUCAUGCCGGAUGAUAAAGUGAUGGCCGGGUGAUUUCCAGAUGAUGUUCUCCUGAGUGCAAGUUACCUUGAGCAAAGUGAAUCACUGUUUCACAAACCAGCUCCAUUUGCUGCAGGUAUUCAAGCUGAAAACACUUCAAACUGCUUUUACUUGGACUCCAUUUAAGAUCACACCUGAACUAUUAAAUCAUCAGAAUCACUUAAUCUUCAUCUCCUUGUCUGCAGCAUCUUAUAUCCACGUGGGGACACAUUAAUGUAACCCUUGCAAACAGGGUAACUGUGAACCUUAAGAGUUAUCCUUUUUUCAUAUCAUGCAGGCAAUUUAUUUAAUGUGAUUUUCACAUGACCCGGUGCACCAAUGUUUAUCUUAAUGCUACAAACCUUUUUUUUUUUUUUCUUUUAUCAUCGUUGUUGUUACUGUUUUAUUAUUGAUAUAUCAAAAUCAUUUAAUGUGGGUCCUGGUGGGACCAAUGUUAAAAGCACCCAAUGUUGCUUUCUUCCCUCUUUUAAAUGGAGUCAGUUCAUGUUGAAAAGGGGUCUACCAAAGUGUCUAUUUUUUAUUCUUAUACUUUACCAAACACUGUCAAAGCUUGAAGACAUCAUAAAAAUACCAUCUUUAAACAGCCACCUGUGGCAGUUUGUAAAUGCGCACACAAUAACCUGGCGGGAUUCCCUUAAAGAAGCAUCUUUUUUUGUGGUGUAUAUACAAAACAGCUUUUAAAAUCAGUCAAUAGCUAUCAGUUAUUGAUGACAUUUGGUGAUAUAACGAUAUCGCUGUGUUUUGUUAUGUCUGUGUAGUCAACAUUCUAAAAUUUUUGAGCGGCCCACUCUUUCUGACUGUAAACAAAGCCAUUCCCCGCCUCCCUCAACCUCAUUGGUUGUGAGGUGGAUGCUGCUGCCUCGUGUUGUGAGGCAUGCUCCACACCUCCAAUAAUGUGCACGAGCCCAAACAAAGUUGGCGUGGUAUGAUAUCGGACAGUAGAAACCAACCAGAAAGUUUGGUAAACACAAGCAAUAAAAUAAAGUAAAUACCAGAGACUCUGGCGGAAUAACGGGUGCUUAAAACGGAGGUAGACCGGACAAGAGCUAAGAAGCCCAGUCAACAUCAGCAUUAACAAUGGGGGACACUUCAGGAUCCUACAGACCCUGUAACCUUUCUGUUGGACAGGUAAACCGCUUUAACAAAGUAAGCCAAGUGUCUUUAACAGAAGUGUUUCUUGUCAAACGGAACCCGCUGUGUGUUGCAGCGCCGCUAAACUGUUGACCUCGGGUCCUGGACUGUGUCACUUUAUCCUAGUUGUAGAAGUCCUGCAAACAUUGUGUUAGCUGGUAGUCUGUUGGCAUCUACAGUAGCACCAAUGCUUUUUACUUUCACAUUGACUAGACCUCAUUUGUAAUUAUCUGAAGUAUUUAUCUGCAUUAUAUCUGAAUUUAAUUGAGCAUGAGUGAGCAUGAGCGUCUGUUUGUGGGCGGGGCUUGCUGGAGCAGAGAGGGAGGGGAGAGGAGGAGCUGAGAGGAAAACUGGUUGGGAGAGGUAGUGUUUACAUUCAAGAUUCCUCCCAAAAAACUGGCACUUCCUCAGAUCCAACUAUCCCACCUUUAAAGUCCCACUCUGAUCAUUCUAUUUUUAACUACUUAAAGUGUUCUCAGUGGUCUUUAAAUUGUGAUUAUUAAGUUUUUAGCCAAAAUCUCGUUAGCCUACCUAUGUCAUUUUCAAGGGCUUUUCUUCUGCAGAGCUCCAGUAGCUCAUUAGCAAUUUGCCUCCGAGUCGUGGGCAGAGACAGCGCUGCUUUGCACACUCCUCUUCAUGCUAGCUUGUAGCCUAACAUUGCUGGUGUAGUUGAAGUUGCAGGUAAUAUAGGAGCUAUGUCCUUUGGAUCUGUCAGAGAUUCACAGUGAUUUGAAUGCAGAGAUACUCAGAAAUGCAAUUUUGCACUUAGUUUUCUCAUGAUAUGUCCUGUAGCAUCAGAAAAAUGUAGACAAAAGGAAAAACAUGAUUUUCAUUGGAGUGGGUCUCAUACUGUCACUUUCUACCACAGAGCUGCAUAAAACACACUGGAGGAGGAACAUGCUGGGCCUGUUACUGUAGCAUAAUUUAGCAGCAACCUCUGGUCUUGGGAAAUAAAGCUGAUGUGGCAGUGCUGAAACCUGCAGUUCCCUGAGUGUCCACUUGAAGCUGACUGCAGAAGCACCAGAAACCAAAUUCACUCUCAUCAGAAGCUAUUUUUACAGCAAAAAUAAGAACUUUUACAGCCUAGUUUAAAAAAAAAAAAGAUUUUGGUAUGAAUAGCUCGAGGCUCCAACUAUACAGGCAAUUGUUAUUAUUGUUUUUUUUUUUUUUGGUGACAUGUUUGUUUUUAAGUUUCUUAGGUUACAAGACUGGUGAAUCAGAGGCACAGGUAACUUACUGAAAGGCAGGCGCAAAGUUCAGUUCUAUCAGUAAUUCCAAUAUGGCGACCGCUGCCUUGUAGACUUCAAUGCUACUUCCAGUUGUAAUACAGGCAGCAAGACUUCCCUCCAACAGAAUAUCUGCAUUAAAGUGAUGAUGGACAGACAUCAGAUUAUUUCAGACAGCAUAACAUUCAAUGUUUGAUAGGGACAGCUGUGCAGUCAUUGUGCAGCAGUGUGAUGUUGAUGUGAAACCAGAUGCAUGGGUAUUUAAAAGUGAGUUUCAGAGAAAGACAUAGAUCAGCUGAAAACAAGAGUAGAGGGUUUAGUGAUAAAUGUUUUUUUCUACACCUUUUCUCUCGAUUAUUGACCGGAACCCUCCAAACAAAUGUUACAAAAUCAAUUUAUUGCUGCUGUGAGGGCAAUGGGUUGUCACACCGCAGGAAAACAGCCACAUUGGGGAGAGGGCGGGAGGCCCCCCACUGUAUUGAUAAUUAAAAUAGAGUCCACAGUGCUUGAAAAAUACGUCACGGUACUGAAUGACUGAUGACUGCAAUCACAAUUGGAGAAAAUAAACAAGCUCGAUGCUGAAAAUUGGAAUCAGUCAAGGCUGUCAUACAGUGUUUGAAGAAAUGGGAUGGAAAGCAAAGUGGACAUGGCUGUUGUAAUCGGUGACAUGUUAAGCUUUAAUGUGCUUGUACCCUUUGUUACGCAUUACAUUGUUAUUUAUCAGAGCGGAAUUCAGUUAUUCUUCAAUUCUGAGGUUGAAUCACUUCAUUGAAAUUCUCAAAAAUAGACUUCAUCUUAUACAGAAAGACUGACGAGCUGAGUGCAUGACCUUUAGUGCUGACACACAUUCAUUUACCAGGCCAGGGUGUAAUUGUCCUCUGUUCUGACUCUGAGACGCCUCCUCCUCAGUAUAACAAAUAUAUAAUCUGCUCCUGCGGGGGAGUUGUGAGCCAGAGUGUGAAAUUAAUACUUCUCUCUUCUCUGGGGUGCAAUAAAUAAAGUCCAUAGUUUAUCACAGGGUGAGAGCCCUCCUGCUUGCUUAUCAUUAAACUCAGGCACAAAAUUAAGAAAGGCCAUGUGUAUGUAGGCAUCAGUUUACACUCAACUGGAAAUUUCAAAAUGAAACAUUUUGCUUUGAACGAUGGGAAUUAUCUGUUGUUUUCAAGAUGGGUUCACGGCUCCCUCACGUAUGGGAGAACAGCAUUCAUGAGACAAUGUAACAGGAAAAUCAGACACUCCCAGUUUGACAACAAGAGCUUCUCUUCACUGCCAUUAUGUGAUGGACUCUAUUUUUGCUUUUAUAGCUUUCUCUCAUUUUAAAGUGGACAUUUAGAUUGUGAGGUACUUUUCAAAACGAAGUUACAGUCUCUCAGGCUGGAAAUGAAGCCAGCGUGGAUGUGCCAAAACAUUUAUUCACAUUUAUCGAGGGUGUCUCCAAACAAGUUAAGGGUUGGCUGGUUUCAAAAACCCGACUUUAUAGUGGGAGUCAACAUCUUACAGCGUCAUGCAAAGAACAGUUUGGCUCGUCACGCUCAUCUCCCAAAUUCAAGAUUUGCUGUGAUUCAUUUUCAUUAAAUGCACAUGCUUAGCUUCUGUGUCUUGUAGUGUUGUAGCUCAUUUUAAUGACCACUGUAUACCACAAGUUAUCUGCUAAGCUUCACAGCAAGCAUGUAUGUUGUUAAACCCUGAUUCUAAGCUUGUGUUGUUGGUGCACUAAAUUAAUUUUACCACCUUAGUUGUGUUACUGCAUAAGCCCAACAUAUGAGAGAUCUGCACUCCAAAUCUAUGAGUGAAUGGAUGAAUGUAACAGCUAAGAAGAGGUAAAGUCUGCUGCAGGCAUGAUUGCUCAGUUGGUUUUCACCACCAAAGUACACUGCCAGCCAAAGUGAAAGCAACGUUGCUGAUCAAUGAGAACCUCUAUGAAUUUAACCCCCAGCUGCUCAUUUUAACACUUAAAAAAAGCAGUUUAGAGACUUCAAUUAAGGAGUGAUUGCUGCAAAUUAGGACUCGAAAAUCACAUUGAAUGGUCCAAAAAACAUGAACUAACAAAAACAAAAUGUCAGUAACAUCCUGAUGAAGGAAAAAAUAGGUGCUUCUCUAUGCCUCAAUAAGUGCACUUUACCAGCAAAACCAAUCUUCUGAAAGGAAAUGUUCUUGGCCCCCAUACUCACAGAGUUUGACCUCCAGCUUUCACUAUUAAGAGCACACAGUUAUUGGAAACACACUGUAUAACAUCAUGCAGAUACACAAUAGACUGUUAUAAAAUGGUAAAGCUCCAAUACCAUAUUUUCUGGAAAUAAUAAAACAUACAGUGAGGUCUAACAGUCCCUCCUCCUCCUAAGUAAAUGUAAUUCCCUGGUUGUUGAUUCAGCCUCCCCAUCUAUAGUCUACUCAAAGAAAAGAUAUGCUGUGAAAUGCAUGAAAGACAGUGUGUUUUAUGAAGGCCAUAAUCCUGACAGACUGUGCAAAAACACCUGGGGCCUUAUGUAUCAACACUUGCGUGGGACUCAUACCAGAAACGAGCGCACGCAAGGUCCGUCACGCUGAAAAAAAUCCGUAUGUAUCAAGGUGUGCGGGCGCCGAAAUCCAUGUGCGUUUCCUUGAUAAAUCCCAAUCAGCGUGGAAUUGAGCGCAGAUGUCGGAGUGACUGGGCCCGCCCCCGUUACGCCCUCCUAUAAAUAUGCAGAUUUAUUUAAAUAGGGUCUCCCUGUCCUCGCACACAGACAAAAUGACAAGAAAAACUAAAUUUACGGCGUGCGAGGUGGAGGUGCUGGUGGCGGAGGUGGAGGAGCGACAGCGUGUUUUGUUUGGCAGCCUGUCCAGUGGCGUCAGUGCAAAACGAAAACGCUUGGAGUGGGAGAAAGUUUGCGAGAGGGUGAAUGCGGUGGGUUCCGAGACACGCACCCCCGCGGAGAUUAAAAAAAAGUGGUCGGACCUCAAGGUGGAGGUCAAGCGGCGUACAGCUGCCCUCCGGAGGAGUACCGGCCAGACAGGUGGGGG
rnacentral:lncRNA from 1 species